GACGAACGCUGGCGGCGUGCUUAACACAUGCAAGUCGAACGGAAAGGCCCUGCUAUUGUGGGGUGCUCGCGUGGCGCACGGGUGAGUAACACGUGAGUAACCUGCCGUUGACUUUGGGAUAACUUCAGGAAACUGGGGCUAAUACCGGAUAGGAGCUCCUGCUGCAUGGUGGGGGUUGGAAAGUUUGGGCGGGUGGGGAUGGACACGCGGCUUAACCGCUUGUUGGUGGGAUAGUGGCUUACCAAGGCUUUGACGGGUAGCCGGCCUGAGAGGGUGACCGGCCACCUGGGGACUGAGAUACGGCCCAGACUCCUACUGGAGGCAGCAGUGGGGAAUAUUGCCCAAUGGGCGGAAGCCUGAUGCAGCAACGCCGCGUUCGGGAUGACGGCCUUCGGGGUGUAAACCGCUUUCGCCUGUGACGAAGCGUGAGUGACGGUAAUGGGUAAAGAAGCACCGGCUAACUACGUG
rnacentral:rRNA from 1 species